GCGUAGCGCGCGUAGGCGGCCUGUAUAAGCCGGUUGUGAAAGCCCCGGGCUCAACCUGGGAACGGCAUCCGGAACUGUCAGGCUAGAGUGCAGGAGAGGAAGGUAGAAUUCGACGGUGUAGCGGUGAAAUGCGUAGAGAUCGGGAGUCAGAAUACCAGUGGCGAAGGCGGCCUUCUGGACUGACACUGACGCUGAGGUGCGAAAGCGUGGGUAGCAAACAGGAUUAGAUACCCUGGUAGUCCACGCCGUAAACGAUGUCGACUAGCCGUUGGGGUCCUUGAGACCUUUGUGGCGCAGUUAACGCGAUAAGUCGACCGCCUGGGGAGUACGGCCGCAAGGUUAAAACUCAAAUGAAUUGACGGGGGCCCGCACAAGCGGUGGAGCAUGUGGUUUAAUUCGAUGCAACGCGAAGAACCUUUACCUACACUUGACAUCGAGAGAACUUGGCAGAGAUGCCUUGGUGCCUUCGGGAACUCUCAGACAGGUGCUGCAUGGCCCGUCGUCAGCUCGUGUUGUG
rnacentral:rRNA from 1 species